ACGUAUCCAACCUGCCGUCUACUCUUGGACAGCCUUCUGAAGGAAGAUUAAUACAAGAUGGCAUCAUGAGUCCGCAUGUUCACAUGAUUAAAGGUAUUCCGGUAGACGAUGGGGAUGCGUUCCAUUAGAUAGUAGGCGGGGUAACGGCCCACCUAGUCUUCGAUGGAUAGGGGUUCUGAGAGGAAGGUCCCCCACAUUGGAACUGAGACACGGUCCAAACUCCUACGGGAGGCAGCAUG
rnacentral:rRNA from 1 species